AGAGCGAACGCUGGCGGCAGGCUUAACACAUGCAAGUCGAACGGAUCCUUCGGGAUUAGUGGCGGACGGGUGAGUAACACGUGGGAACGUGCCUUUUGGUUCGGAACAACUCAGGGAAACUUGAGCUAAUACCGGAUGUGCCCUUCGGGGGAAAGAUUUAUCGCCAUUAGAGCGGCCCGCGUCUGAUUAGCUAGUUGGUGAGGUAAAGGCCCACCAAGGCUACGAUCAGUAGCUGGUCUGAGAGGAUGACCAGCCACAUUGGGACUGAGACACGGCCCAAACUCCUACGGGAGGCAGCAGUGGGGAAUCUUGCGCAAUGGGCGAAAGCCUGACGCAGCCAUGCCGCGUGAAUGAUGAAGGUCUUAGGAUUGUAAAAUUCUUUCACCGGGGUACGAUAAUGACGGUACCCGGAGAAGAAGCCCCGGCUAACUUCGCGCCAGCAGCCGC
rnacentral:rRNA from 1 species